AGCAAUUAGGUCAUUGAGAUCUUAGAAAGACUCCCUGGUGUCUCCAGGGAAGUAAAGAGUCUACUAAACAACAAGAUUCUUAUCAAGAAAGGUGGUGACCCUGCUUAAUUUCCAAAAGAAGAGGUGUCGAGGCUCAGAUCGGUGUGUGAGUCCUAUGCUCUGGAAAGAAGAUCCUAUUCCACCAUUCUAACUGUGGGCAGGAACAAGCUGUUGCUUAAUGAACAAGAUGCUCAAAGAGCAUGUCAGACAAGGAAUGUCUUUUUACAGUCGUUACGUUGCCACCAGUACUGAACAGGCGUUCUACUGCAGCGCUUGAAGGCAUGCCUGUGUUGUGCUGCAAAAAACACCGCAGCACACGUGGAAAGCCAUGGAGUGAUGACACCUCCCUGCUGGGAGACCUCAGUUUAUCUGGACAUCCCCGGUGAUUGGACCACUGCCCUGUUGGCUGCUAUUGGUGCCAGAUCUUGAGACAGACUCUUCCUCAUUGCAACAGGAACUGCUGGAUCAGUUCAAAUUGCCUGUGAGUGAAUUCCUCCACAGUCCCCAUUCAGCAGAGUCUGUGCGAAAAGAACAGUCAGAAACCAUGGUCAGUGAUGUCAUGAGAGGAAGAAAUGGCUUGGAGGAGAACUCUACAGUCAAUCCGCCACAGAACCAACAGGGACAUCACCAGAGAACACCCAAGGCCAAAGUGAGAUGUCUCUCCUUGACCUUGAUAACUUUGGUGGAGACCUUGGUGGAGAAACUUUGGUGGAGACUUUUGAACUCAUUGUGGAGAACAUUGUCCUGUUGAUUGGCUGUAAAAGUAACAGGGAGGCUGAGCAUGCCUUCAAGGAAUGGAACAAGGCCAACCCUAUCAGUAGAUGGUGCAACAGCUGUGGGAAGUUCUGUUGCAAGGGCAACAGCACGGUGGAAAUUAUGCAUGUGUGAGGUGUCAAUAGGCUGGCGCAAACUAUAUAAUAUUGUCUGAGGACAUUUCUCUAACCAAGGGCAGUUUUCUUGCAGUUUCUUAACGAGGUUAGAAAAACAUCCCACAAAUCCAAUAACAUUAGUUCUCAGUUGUAACAAAGUUUUUUCUAGACAGUUUACAAUAUUUUAAUAAUAUUUUCACUUUAUAAGAUUUUUUGUUGUUUGUAAUUGAAAAUAAAAAGAAUAGCUCAGUGUUUCCCAAACUUUUUUAUUUUUUUUGUUUCUGGACUACAACUCCCAUCAGCCCCAGCCAGCAUGGCCAAUGGUCAGGAAUUAUGGGAACUGUAGUCCAGCAACAAAAAUUUUUUAAAAAGUUUGGGAAACACUGUAAAGGAACAGAAAUUGUGUUGUUUAUUCAAUAUGCAGGGGGAGGGGCAAACAUUUACUUCACAGAAAAAUUCUGCCUCCUUUGAACAAGUGUUUUCUGGCUCUGGGUGCUUGGGUAUUGUCAAGCACACCUGACACCACAGACACAAAUGUUACCUGUGGUCAAAAUAUCACCCAGCAUACAAUGGAAAUCUCAUUGAGGUAGAAAAUACAUCCCCAAAACCGUUAGUGUGAUUUUCUUUUUACAAGAAUCCUUAAAUUUAGUUGUUUAGGUGAUGGGCAACCUUUUAAUCUUAACAAGUGGAGCCCACAUAUCAAAUGUCAUAUGCUGUCCAUGCUUUCUCCUGUUUAGGUAAAGAUAACCAGUGGCAUGGAUCCAGCUGAAGUCAGUCACAGCAGUCCCUAUGAAAUCAGUGGGGAUUAUUUAGUUGGAUCCAAGCCACUGAGGCUGCAAUCCAAAAUAUGUCUACUCAGAGGUAAGCUCCAUUAGGUUCAAUGGGACUUACUCCCAGGUAUGUGUGUAUUGGAUUGCAGCCUAAGCCAUAUUGCCAAUAACAAUGAGAGACAGAAUGAGAUGAUGGGUUAAUGAUUAUUUUGUUGUCCAAAGAAGUACAGCAGUGGCAUUUUCAUGAGAUGAAUCUGGUGUUAAGUAUACAUGCUGACCUAAAUAUAUUAUUUAGAUUUCUUUGUUUGUGUUUUUUUUUUUAGUAUUAUGACAUGUGGUAGACAUUUGUGAUUUUGACCUAUAAGUCGUCUCAUUGUUCAGGGCAGGGGUAAGAGGUGUCUCAUCGCCACCAGAAUGUCUCUUGUCACUUUUAAGGGGGGGGGGCUUAACCUGGCCCACCAACAGCAGAAGACCUUUUUUCUUUCUAAUAGAUUGAACACCUUUAAUGUUUUGAUUUAUUUAUAGCAAGUGUAACCUCGUAGCUAAAAAUAGAACAAAUUAUUAGAGUUUGUUUCUCUGCAUACCAAGUAAAGCUUCAGAAAUCUUAACUCUUUGUAAACCAAGUUAUUUAGUUUCUCGUUCAUGCAUUUCUCAGUAUUUAGCCUGUCUCCUAUGGUGGCCUACAAAAAUCUAAGAACAUUAAGUACAAAAUUGCAUACCACAAGGAAGUCAUGGAAAUAAAUUACAACAUCCAUGAAAACAACUUCUGCGACAUGAUCCCAGUCUUGCCUGUUGCAAAUUAAAUGCCACUGAGUUUAAUGAGGUAUACUUUCAUGUAAGUGGCUAUAGGAUUGCAGCCUAAAUCCUUUAUCUUAUUAACUGUCUAUGUUACAUCUUCUGGUAAAUUUGAUUUAAAAGACAAAUAUCUAGAGUAUUUAUUCAUUUGGGACACAACUAGGCCAAAAUCUAUUAAGGAGAAACAGAACAUGUUGUAAGUUAGAGUCUGCAAUAUGUCCAUCUGCCUUGUGCUCCUAGUGGGAGGAAGGGCGAAAUAUAAAUCUAAUAAAUAAAUAAAAUUUAUUCUGACAAUAGAUAUAUUAAAUACCAUUGCAUGUCAACUAUCAAAGAUGGUCAGAUAUCAAAUGUUAAAAUAAAAUAUUGAAAUCCUA